rnacentral:rRNA from 1 species
GACGAACGCUGGCGGCGUGCUUAACACAUGCAAGUCGAGCGGUAAGGCCCUUUCGGGGGUACACGAGCGGCGAACGGGUGAGUAACACGUGGGUGACCUGCCCUCGGCUCUGGGAUAAGCCUGGGAAACUGGGUCUAAUACUGGAUAUGACUCCACGGUGCAUGUCGUGGGGUGGAAAGCCUUGUGCGGCUGAGGAUGGGCCCGCGGCCUAUCAGCUUGUUGGUGGGGUGAUGGCCUACCAAGGCGACGACGGGUAGCCGGCCUGAGAGGGCGACCGGCCACACUGGGACUGAGACACGGCCCAGACUCCUACGGGAGGCAGCAGUGGGGAAUCUUGCGCAAUGGGCGAAAGCCUGACGCAGCGACGCCGCGUGAGGGAUGACGGCCU